rnacentral:lncRNA from 1 species
CACGAAGCUAAAAUAUUGUAAACACAAUAUGGCUACAUAAUUUAAAAUCAUAUCACACAGAUAUGUGCCCCCAAGGGCCCUGAUUCAGUUCGUGGCUCUUCUGGGACUCUCAGCUAUGCCUGGAUGUUCAAGAGUCAGAACCUCCCCCCACCCUCCACCCCAGAACUGGGACACGUCACAGACCAGGAACUCCCUAACCAGCUCUAGCCUCGGCCUCAUCAAAGACUGCAUUUCCCAUCCCUGAGCAGACUCUUGGCUUCCCCUGAAGCCCAGCACCAGCCAGGCUGCAGAAAAGAAAAAAUAGUCUAGAUAUUUAUUCCCCGGUACGGAGCCCAAACAGGCUGUGCCCAACGGAAGUGAAUAAAUGGACUGACAGAUUCACUGUCCAAUCAGAGUCUCCAUACGCGCCUGCCAGUCAGAAAAGGAGGAGGGUUCUUCCGGAAAUCACAUUGCAGGUUCUGCGAGAGUUUACGUGAUUUUGUGUGUUGUUUUUUCACCUCAACUGCCGAGUACUGAGGGAAGCUCAGGAAGCUCUGAAGAUACAGCAUGGCCAGCACAUCCUCACUCUCCACAAAGAGGUCAUGGAUUUCCCAAAGAGGCAUGAGAGACUGCAGAGCCAUAGCCACCAUUCUGAUCUUCUCCACCCAGAGAGAUCUGUAGAGCAUGGGGCCUCACUGUU